rnacentral:rRNA from 1 species
CCUACGGGUGCAGCAGUGGGGAAUAUUGCACAAUGGGGGAAACCCUGAUGCAGCGACGCCGCGUGAGUGAAGAAGUAUUUCGGUAUGUAACGCUCUAUCAGCAGGGAAGAAAAUGACGGUACCUGAUUAAGAAGCCCCGGCAAACAACGUGCAAGCAGCGGCGGUCAUACGUAGGGGGCAAGGGUUACCCGGAUUUACUGGGUGUAAAGGGUUGGAGGGCGGGGGUGCAAGUCAGCGGUCAAAUUGCGGUGGUCAACCCCGUACUGCCGUUGAAACUGCAUCCGUUGAGUGCGCGAGAGGUAUGCGGAAUGCGUGGUGUAGCGGUGAAAUGCAUAGAUAUCACGCAGAACUCCGAUUGCGAAGGCAGCAUACCGGCGCGCAACUGACGCUCAUGCACGAAAGCGUGGGUAUCGAACAGGAUUAGAUACCCUAGUAGUC